AUGCAGAUUGAACUCGAUCAGUACGGCCUCCAGCCCCAGCACCGCUGUAUAAGCAUGGCAAGCUUGGCCACGCUUCCUUCGGUUAUCAGCCAGAUCUCACAGACGAUACAGGUAAUUUUCUGCAGUAGCAAGGUUAUCAGCCAGAUCUCACAGACGAUACAGGUUAUCAGCCCAGAUCUGUACUGUGGCACCAGCAAGGUUGUGAAGGGCAACAUCGCAAGUGCGACGGCCUGUGGAGACCCGCAGAACUACGUGAGCUGGGAUGGAAUUCAUGCCACCGAAGCUGCAAACAAUAUCAUAGCGUCUGCGGUGAUGAGUGGCGCCUACUCAUAUCCACCUUCCGGUCUUUCAAAACUUUGCCAGCCAUGA
rnacentral:rRNA from 1 species